GCAGGAGGACCAAACUGGAGACAGUCCUGGCUCUGAGGAAACAGGAAGGAAGGAGGGUGAAAGGAAGGUCCACCUGCACACAAAGGAAAGAUGAAAAAGAAUCACCUACCAUGGGACCUGGCAAAGCACUUCAGAACUUUUAUUCCUUCCAGAAGCAGGUAAGUACCCCAAGUCCUCAUCGUAUUCCCAGCAUAGGGCUUGGUAUACGGGGGGAUAUUUCAUUCAGCAUGUUGGCUGAAUGAAAGGUCUGAUGGGUAUACUUGGGAGAAGGUCCUUAGGGACAUGGCUUAAAAAAUGAGAGAGGGGCAGGGCAGUGAGUCUAAAAGGAUGUGGAUGCUCACAUCUGCUCUUACAAUCAUGCUACAGUUCAUUUAUUGAGUGGAAACAGUUCCCUACUUAUUGACAAUUCAUUUAUUGAAUAGGUAAUCAGUAAAUACAUUUUGUAUCAAUCUAACAAUUAGGCAUAAACUACAGCCUCCUACACCCAAUAUCUGAGGUGUUCUAAGAUUUAACUACUCAAAUGUUUGAUAUUUGAUAAAUUGUUUAAGUUCUCUGCAAUUCAGUUCCACCUCCUAUAACAGCACUUCUGAAAAUGUGGUCUGUGAACCUCUGAGGGGUUCCUGAGACACUGUCAGGGAGCAAGUGAGACAUGACUAUUUUUAUAAUACUAAACUAUUAGCCUUUGUCACUGUGUUGUCAUUUACCUAGGAUAGGUACAACUGCUGGCACCUGAGCACAAAUCAAGGCACUGACCCUAAGCUCUACUAGUUGUUAUUGCAUUUUUCACCACUGUACACUCAUAAUUUAGGAGAAAAGAGCAAAAACUCUAGAUUGCAUGUAACAAUAUCCCUUGAUGAAGCAGUAAAAAAUUAUUAAUGUUGUUAAAUCUUAAUCAUUGAGUACAUGUGUUAAGUCCUCAUAAGACACUUUUGGUUGUCUCAAAGAAAUCUAUCUGUGUUGUUUGAGUUGUGAAUUACACUAGCUGCUUUGUUCAUGGAAUACCAGUUUUAUUUGAAAAAAAUUACUAGGCCAGGCACGGUGGCUCAUGCCUGUAAUGCCUCACUUUGGGAGGCAGAGGUAGGAGGAUCGCAUCAGCCCAGGAGUUCAAGACCAGCCUGGACAACACAGGGGAGACCCCAUCUCUACAAAACAUAAAAAAUUAUCCAGGUGUGAUGGCACACGCCUAUAGUCCCAGUUACUCGGAAGGCUGAGGACUGCUUGAGGCCAGGAGGAUGAGCCAUGGCCAUGCCACUGCACUCCAGCAGUGGUGCUGUGCAACAGAGCAGGACCCUGUCUUUAAAAAACUCUAUGAAAAUUUUAAAAGAGAAAAAAGUGACUGACAAACUAUGGCUUUUCAGACUUAGGUAUCUGGCAGACAUCUUCUUGAAAAUGCAUGAAGUGAACGCCUGUCAUGUCAAGGAAAACAAAAGUCAGUAUCUGUUGCCAAUAGUAAAAUUCAGGCUUUCAAACAAAUAUUAGCAUUUCAGAGAAGCGGCAUUCACAACUGUGAGCUUGAAACUUCCCAAAAUUCCAAGUUUUUUGAUUAUUAGUGAUACUAACAAAUGUAAUUUUUAAAAUAUUUAUGGCCGGGCGUGGUGGCUCAUGCCUGUAAUCCCAGCACUUUGGGAGGCCAAGGCAGGCAGAUCACGAGGUCAAGAGAUUGAGUCCAUCCUGGACAACAUGGGGAAACCCUCUCUACUAAAAAUACAAAAAUUAGUUGGGCGUGGUGGCGUGCACCUGUAGUCGCAGCUACUUGGGAUGCUGAGGCAGGAGAAUCGCUUGAACCCAGUAGGUGGAGGUUGCAGUGAGCCAAGAACGCACCACUGCACUCCAGCCUGGCGACAGAGCGAGACUCUGUCUCAAAAAAAAAAAAAAAAAAAAAAAAUUAAA